rnacentral:lncRNA from 1 species
AUGUUCUUAAAAUCUGGAUCACAUUAUUGAGUUGAAGUGAGGAGAUGGUUAGAUCUUCAUGUUGAUUACUGACUCAUGGGUUUAAUUAUUUUUUUAAUUGGACUAAGGCAACUUACUGCUUUCCCAUCUGUGCCAUGUACUAAACACUUUUUUUCCCUUUCCGUGAUAGUUACUACGAGGCAUGACUUGCUUGAACUGUUCACUGACCAAAGCUGGGCAGUGUUGAUACUGGGCAUUCUUAAGUGAGGAGAAAUAGGUAAAUAGCCUAGGUAAAACUUGCAUAGUCACAGGUGGCAGAAAUCCAGGUUGUGACUCUAGCACCAUCACAGUAGACCUGUAUGCUUCACCUGGGUGGUCUCUGUUUUCCCUGCUGUAAAACAUCUGAAAAGCAUGAUGGUACUUUUUGUUUAGGACUAUGAGCUUCUUUUCUUCCUGAGUUCAAAUAAUAACAUUUUGCAAGCUGUUGAUGUACCAGCUGUAUUUCUGUAACAUUCCAGCUGCGUAUGUUAGUACACAUUUUCAGAUAGUUCAGACUACAAACCCAGUCAUGUUUUCAAAGUGCACAAAAGCUUCAUUUCCUAAUGAGUGCUAAGUUUGUCAUUUCACUCUUCACUGUACUAACAUUGCAAAGGAAGUUACAUUUUGUUUUAAAGGGGUCGUCUAGCUAUGCCUAGUGCUUACUCUGCUGUUACUUACAAAAAAAAGGGCCCUAGCUUAGAAACACAGAUGGUGGAUGAUGAAACUGAGACUACAGGUGAAGAAUUGCCUCCUCAUCUGCGGGAAGAGCCUCCUGAAGGUACAGUGCUGGCAGUCAAUGUAAACUCUUUGCAAUCAAUUGAGAAAAAUGUUCUGGCCAAGAAGCCUGAUUUCUCUGUCUGACUUGAACUUGUAUCUGCCUGUUUUCUGAGAGGGAUAAAGCUUUGUGAGAGCUGACAGUUUAGCCAGCCUCCCAGCCAGAGGUCUAGCCAGCCCCUAAGCCUUCUUUUGCAUUCGAAAGAAGGCUUUACCCACUGAGGUGCAGACAUAGCUCUGCAUUCUCUUUAACAAUAUGGCUUCUGAUUAAAAUUAUCCUGCUUGAUCAUCCUGUCUUCAGGCUUAGG